UUCUCAGAUGAGAUGUGCUCUUUGUCCCCAGUGCAGGUGUCUUUGACGGCCAUUCAAAUCCACUUUGGCCUGUUCUCUUCAGUGACUUUCUUUAAUGUACUUCAGACACCUCCUGGGCUGCUUAUGCUCACCGGUUAAUAAAGGAGGACAUGAGAUAAUAAAAUGCACAAAAUUAAUCCAAAAGAAGAAAGAAAUGGGGAGAAAAAGAACAUAAAACAAGAGUGAACACAUCAAAAACAGAAAGCUAGAUGGAAGGUUUCAAUGGAAAGCCACACUGCUGGUACAUGAGGGAGCUGGGACUGAAACCCACGUAGUUGGUAUAUGCUUUCCAUCAUCACGAGGCACUUCCUUCACAAAAUGUUCAUAGCAAUAAAUGACACCUCACAAAGUUAUUUUUAGAAUGAAAUAUGGAGGUGAACAUUCUUUGCAAAUUAUGAAAUCCCACAUGCUUAUUAAUUGUGCAAUUGUGUAAAAAGAAUUGGUAUUUGUGUCCCUUAUAGCAUCUGACAUAGCUCUGAGCUAUGGAAGAACUUCUGGUUGGUACAGCACCAUCUCUCUUUCUCUCUCUCUCUUUUUUUUCCCAAAAGCUAAUCCACAUCUUGCAUUGCUUUAAAGAUUCAGACAUCAGAAUUUUGCUCUGACCAUGAAAGAGUACUGCGUCUGAGCUUACCCUAGACUAUUAACAAAAUGAAUAGUAGAUAAAAUACAUAAGACAACUUUCUCAUACAUUGAACAUCAGUAAGCAUAGGAUUAUAAUCCAAGGGAGUACCAGAGACGAGGGGAUUACACAGAGAAAGACCUACAGAAAUUGCCUAAGAGUUCCUUGAGUGUUUGGCUAAAUACUUCUCUGUAUUUGCAUAAGGUUAAGCUCCAUGAGGCCGGGCUAAGAACAGUUUUUAGGAAAGGACAAUUACUAGGGAGAUGUAGGCUGAUAAUUUUCAGACCUCACACAGGAUUUGGAAUGAUGUAAGACCCCACCAGUGAGAGAAGAGAGGCUUCAUUGGAUACACAGGGCUUUCAGUAAAGAACAGAGGCGCCUUGCUGUAGCAGUGGGGCUACCCCAGCCUUAAGGAAAGGCUGUUCUGAGCCUUCCUUAAAAUGGCUUCAAAACCAGCCUCAAAAGGCUCAAGGUGAUUUGCAGGUAACUUAACUGCCUGUUAUCUUUAUAGGAAUAAAAGAAACUCUAGCACGUGCAAACAUAAAACUCACAGUGUCUAGCAUCUGAUCAAAAUUUGCUAGACAUAUCAUUAAGUGGGAAAACAUGACCCGUAAACAAGAGAAAGAUUGGUCAAUAGAAGCAGGCUCAGAAAUGACAAAAGAUGAUAGCAUUGGCAUAAAAGGCAUUGAAACAGCUGUUAGAAACAUGUGUAACAUGCUUAAGGAUGUGAAAGAAAACAUUAGCAUAAUGGGGAGAACAAGGGAAGAUACAAAAAAUAAGAACCAGAUGUAACUUCUAGAGAUGGAGAAUGGAAUAAUCUGAGAUAAAAUACUUACUGGGUAAACUUACAGUAGACUCCACACUACAGGAAAACAAAACAAAACACAACACAACAGAGCAGUAUAUGUGAACAUGUAGCAACAGAAACCAUCCAAAAUGAAGCCCAUACAGAAAAAAAACUGAAAGAAAACACAGUAUCAGUGACCCCUGGGAAAAUAUCAGC
rnacentral:lncRNA from 1 species